GUGGGGAAUUUUGGACAAUGGGGGCAACCCUGAUCCAGCAAUGCCGCGUGUGUGAAGAAGGCCUUCGGGUUGUAAAGCACUUUUGGCGGGAGCGAAAGGGCCUGGGCUAAUACCCCGGGUUGAUGACGGUACCCGCAGAAUAAGCACCGGCUAACUACGUGCCAGCAGCCGCGGUAAUACGUAGGGUGCAAGCGUUAAUCGGAAUUACUGGGCGUAAAGCGAGCGCAGGCGGUUGUGUAAGACAGAUGUGAAAUCCCCGGGCUCAACCUGGGAACUGCAUUUGUGACUGCACGGCUAGAGUGCGUCAGAGGGGGGUGGAACUCCACGUGUAGCAGUGAAAUGCGUAGAGAUGUGGAAGAACACCGAUGGCGAAGGCAGCCCCCUGGGAUGACACUGACGCUCAUGCUCGAAAGCGUGGGGAGCAAACAGGAUUAGAUACCCGUGUAGUCC
rnacentral:rRNA from 1 species